rnacentral:rRNA from 1 species
GAGUGAACGCUGGCGGUAGGCCUACCACAUGCAAGUCGAACGGCAGCCCAGUAAGAGCUUGCUCUUACGGGUGGCGAGUGGCGGACGGGUGAGGAAUACAUCGGAAUCUACUUUUUCGUGGGGGAUAACGUAGGGAAGCUUACGCUAAUACCGCAUACGACCUACGGGUGAAAGCAGGGGAUCUUCGGACCUUGCGCGAUUGAAUGAGCCGAUGUCGGAUUAGCUAGUUGGCGGGGUAAAGGCCCACCAAGGCGACGAUCCGUAGCUGGUCUGAGAGGAUGAUCAGCCACACUGGAACUGAGACACGGUCCAGACUCCUACGGGAGGCAGCAGUGGGGAAUAUUGGACAAUGGGCGCAAGCCUGAUCCAGCCAUACCGCGUGGGUGAAGAAGGCCUUCGGGUUGUAAAGCCCUUUUGUUGGGAAAGAAAAGCAGCAGGUUAAUACCCCGCUGUUCUGACGGUACCCAAAGAAUAAGCACCGGCUAACUUCGUG